UCGGGAAUUUUGGGCAAUGGGCGAAAGCCUGACCCAGCAACGCCGCGUGAAGGAUGAAGUAUUUCGGUAUGUAAACUUCGUAAGAAUAGGAAGAAUAAAUGACGGUACUAUUUAUAAGGUCCGGCUAACUACGUGCCAGCAGCCGCGGUAAUACGUAGGGACCAAGCGUUGUUCGGAUUUACUGGGCGUAAAGGGCGCGUAGGCGGCAUGACAAGUCACUUGUGAAAUCUCUGGGCUUAACCCAGAACGGCCAAGUGAUACUGUCGCGCUAGAGUGCAGAAGGGGCAAUCGGAAUUCUUGGUGUAGCGGUGAAAUGCGUAGAUAUCAAGAGGAACACCUGAGGUGAAGACGGGUUGCUGGGCUGACACUGACGCUGAGGCGCGAAAGCCAGGGGAGCAAACGGGAUUAGAUACCCCUGUAGUCCCUG
rnacentral:rRNA from 1 species